rnacentral:rRNA from 1 species
GAUGAACGCUGGCGGCGUGCCUAAUACAUGCAAGUCGAGCGAACGGACGAGAAGCUUGCUUCUCUGAUGUUAGCGGCGGACGGGUGAGUCACACGUGGAUAACCUACCUAUAAGACUGGGAUAACUUCGGGAAACCGGAGCUAAUACCGGAUAAUAUUUUGAACCGCAUGGUUCAAAAGUGAAAGACGGUCUUGCUGUCACUUCUAGCUGGAUCCGCGCUGCAUUAGCUAGUUGGUAAGGUAACGGCUUACCAAGGCAACGAUGCAUAGCCGACCUGAGAGGGUGAUCGGCCACACUGGAACUGAGACACGGUCCAGACUCCUACGGGAGGCAGCAGUAGGGAAUCUUCCGCAAUGGGCGAAAGCCUGACGGAGCAACGCCGCGUGAGUGAUGAAGGUCUUCGGAUCGUAAAACUCUGUUAUUAGGGAAGAACAUAUGUGUAAGUAACUGUGCACAUCUUGACGGUACCUAAUCAGAAAGCCACGGCUAACUACGUG